AAUGGCUCAUUAAAUCAGUUAUGGUUCCUUAGAUCGUACCUUACUACUUGGAUAACUGUGGUAAUUCUAGAGCUAAUACAUGCAGCAGAGCUCCGACCUUCGGGGACGAGCGCUUUUAUUAGACCAAGACCAAUCGGACUUCGGUCCGAAGCUCAUGGUGACUCUGGAUAACUUUGGGCUGAUCGCACGGUCUCGUACCGGCGACGCAUCUUUCAAGUGUCUGCCUUAUCAACUUUCGAUGGUAGGUUAUGCGCCUACCAUGGUCGUAACGGGUAACGGGGAAUCAGGGUUCGAUUCCGGAGAGGGAGCCUGAGAAACGGCUACCACAUCCAAGGAAGGCAGCAGGCGCGCAAAUUACCCACUCCCGGCACGGGGAGGUAGUGACGAAAAAUAACAAUACGGGACUCUAUUGAGGCCCCGUAAUUGGAAUGAGUACACUCUAAAUCCUUUAACGAGGAUCUAUUGGAGGGCAAGUCUGGUGCCAGCAGCCGCGGUAAUUCCAGCUCCAAUAGCGUAUAUUAAAGUUGUUGCGGUUAAAAAGCUCGUAGUUGGAUCUCAGUUCCAGACGGGUGGUCCACCCCUGGUGGUUACUGCCUGGCCUGAACAAAUCCAGCCGGUUUUCCUUGAUGCUCUUCACCGAGUGUCUUGGGUGACCGGCACGUUUACUUUGAAAAAAUUAGAGUGCUCAAAGCAGGCGUGACGCCUGAAUAAUGGUGCAUGGAAUAAUGGAAUAGGACCUCGGUUCUAUUUUGUUGGUUUUCGGAACACGAGGUAAUGAUUAAGAGGGACAGACGGGGGCAUU
rnacentral:rRNA from 1 species